AAUGAACGCUGGCGGCGUGCUUAACACAUGCAAGUCGUACGAGAAAUCCUUAGCUUGCUAGGGAGAGUAAAGUGGCGCACGGGUGAGUAUCGCGUGGGUAAUCUGCCUUUUAGUUGGGAAUAACGUACCGAAAGGUGCGCUAAUACCGGAUAAUACUGAGCAACUACUGUUGCUUAGUCAAAGAAGGCCUCUGUUUACAAGCUUUUGCUGAAAGAUGAGUCCGCGUACCAUUAGCUAGUUGGUAGGGUAAUGGCCUACCAAGGCUACGAUGGUUAGCUGGUCUGAGAGGAUGAUCAGCCACACUGGAACUGAGACACGGUCCAGACUCCUACGGGUGGCUG
rnacentral:rRNA from 1 species